CUGAUGUCUGACUUUAAUAAAUGAAUCAUUUGUCAUGAAUCUGAUUUUAAAGCAAACGAAUCCUCCGAACUGUAAGGGGUUGUUCUAGGUAUAUCUGAGGCAGAGAACAGAACACAUGGUAAUCCUUUUCUGUUUUAACAGUAGUUUUUCUUUAGUGCCUUCAGACAGUUUCAUUCAGUGCAAGAGGAUCAAGAGUUUUGCCUCUGCACAAAGUUGCAAAAUCAUACCAUGGUUCUGCUCUUGUCUGAUUGUCAUAAGCUCUUUAAAAGAGGUGUGUUAUUAUAUUUCUGGAGAAACAGAUUCACAGCUUGAAUUCAGUCUAAUUCAGCCUUUGUGUCCAAGACACGGAGGAACUUUUGAGUUCUUGAAAACCGGAUAAGUAAGGACUUUUGUCCUACCUGUGAAGCUUCUCUAAGGUAAACUCACAAAUGUACUCUCUCAAAUGAUGCUACCCAUACUUCAUUAUAAUAUCCUUGAAUUUCAAAAUAAGUCAAACCUCCCUGUGGGCAUGUGUGGUCCGUUUUCACAAAAGAUUCAGUUAAAGGAGAACCGCGGCGGUGGGGUUGGAACCGCUUGUUUCGUCCUCACAAGCCGUCGGAACAGUCCUCCUGCCAUCCCUGUUGUCUCCGUUGUCUUCGAUGCGCACGGAGUGUGGGUCGGCCCUCCUGUGAGGACCGGGUCUCACCCGCUUUGUAUUCCCUGGGCCUCGCAUGGAGGCCGUUGAAACGGUUCCCGUGAGCACCGCCGUCCUUUCUGGUGUCCAGACUGGCACAGAUCUGAAGUCAGUUUGCUCAAUAGCUGCCAGUGAGUCUGAGCUGAACCUGCUUAAUGCAGAAGAGGGGUUUGGAGCCACCUAAAAUCUCCGCUCAACUCCCCACCCGCACGGAGCCUUUCCCCCGCUUCCCCAACAGCCCUGCCCUCUGCCACGUUCGCGGGGCACAUUGCAUCUCCUGAAACAGCUGUCCUAAUGCCCUUCUGGGCAGAAACAGGCUUCUUUUGGGGGACAGACCCAAAUCAGGGGACAAGAAGUCUCCCUUUGGGGGUCAAAAGGAAACGGUGAGGGUGUCAUGGUGCUGUUUUCCAGUAACACUGGCAGGACGCGCACUGGGGGCCCAGUGGUCACUGGCAAGCCAGCCUGCCUCUCCCCGUAUGAGUGUCCUCUCCAGACGGCACCCUCUCCCUGCCCUGCCUCUCCCUAAUGCAUUUCCAUCCCUAUCGAUCGGGGACUUAGAUGCUGGCUGGCAAUUAGUCCUAAUCAGGCAGCAGGAGUUUCCUAAGGGGACUGCCAGCCGGCCUAAUUGCUGGCAGCUGUGGGGCCGCUCAGUGCGCAGCUGCGGGGCACAGGCUGUUAACCCCCCGGGUCCCGGGCCCGCAAAGCUGCUUGACCCAGCAGAGCUCCUCCUCGCCUGGGUCGGGGGUGCUGGGAUCCAGAGCUUAUCUUUAUCUCGGAAAUCUGUGCUGAGACGCUGAAAGAUACUUGAAGAUAAAGGGUGUACUGCAUAACUCUGUUCUGUAGCAGGAAAUCAUAGAGAAACUAAAGCAGGACUUUUUUAAAAAAAGUUUUAUUUUGGAAAUUCUCAAAAUUCAGACAUGGAAUAGUACAGUAAGCUCCAUGCAUCCAUCAGAUAGUUCUCUGCAUGCUGUCAUUCUUUUUCGUCUAUCCUCCACUCCAUUUUGUUUUCCUUUUAGUGCCUUUUUUUUUUUUUUUUUUUUUUGGCUGCUCAGGUUCCCAGGCCAGGGAUUGAACCUGAGUCACAACAGUGACCCUGAGCCACAACAGUGACAAUGCUGGAUCCUUAACCCACGGAGCCGCAAGGAAAUUCCCACUUGUAAGGUGCUUUAGUGUAUGAUUCUAAUAUAAAGAUACUUUUGAAAAUAUACUGCAGAACUAUUGCUACACUUAACAAAGUAGCUAGUAAUUCCUCAAUAUCACCCAAUAUCUAGCAUUUCAGCAAUGCUUCAAAAACGCCUUUGGGAAGUUCCCCUAGUGGCACAGUGGAAACGCACCCGACUAGAAUCCAUGAGGAUGUGGGUUUGAUCCCUGGCCUCGCUCAGUGGUUUGAGGAUCCAGUGUUGCUGUGCGCUGUGGUGUAGGUCGCAGAAGCGGCUUGGAUCUGUUGUUGCUGUAGCUGUGUCAUAGCUCCGAUUCGACCCCUAGCCUGGGAACUUCCAUAUGCCUCAGGUGCGGCCCUAAAAAGCCGCAAAAUAAAAUAAAGAAAAAUUAAAAGAAAAAAAACCCUCAAACAACAGCUACAACAAAAUGCCUUUGCAUUUGUUUGAAUCAGGAUCGAGUCAAGGUUCAGCCGUGUACUUUGGUUUCACAUUCUAAAUGGGCAGAUUAUAUCCUCAAGGUGUUCUUUCAUGUGUUCCUCUAGUUCCCACAUUUUCUGUAAACCCACAGUAAAAUCUAGAAGCAUCGUGAGUACUAGGUUUGGGUUUUUUCAAGUGUGCUUUAUAGGUGGUGCUAUGAACUUUCUUUUGUACCUCAGGGGGCACAGAUGUUGACUCUCCUAUUUCAGUGAUGUCCGCAGUGAUCCGUGUGGAGUUCCCAUUGUGGCUCAGUGGUUAACGAAUCUGACUAGGAACCAUGAGGUUGAGGGUUCGAUACCUGGCCUUGCUCCAUGGGUUAAGGAUCCAGCGUUGCCGUGAGCUGUGGUGUAGGUCACAGAUGCGGCUCAGAUCCCUCGUUGCUGUGGCUGUGGUGUAGGCCAGCAGCUACAGCUCCGAUUCGACCCCUAGCCUGGGAACCUCCAUAUGCUGCGGGAAGUGGCCUUAGAAAAGGCAAAAAGACCAACCAACCAACCAAACAGUGAUCCGUGAGUUCAAAUGCUGCUGUCCAUCUGAUGCACUACAAAGAUCCCCUGUUAACUGUACCUGAUAGUUUUAGCAGCCAUUGGUAAUCCUUGCCUGGGACCCUCAUUUCCUUAGGCGUUACUCGGCGGCGGUAUUCUAAUACUUCCAUGCCUUCGGUGUGUAUUAGCCAUCAUUCUUAGAGAGGAGAGUAUUUCCCCCUCAGGUUCGGAAAGGCAGGAUCAAUACUAAAUUCCUUCCAUUUCUUUAUAUUAGAUUGUUUUCCUAAACCACCUCAUAGUGUAACUGUGAGAAAAAAAUUGGGGGUAUCAUUAUGAACUCAUGGAUUGUUAUCUGUUUGAUGUGUUUCAAUCCAAUGCAGUCCUGGUUUUUUGAUGCUAAAAUAGCCCAGAUUGGGAUCUGCUGGGCACCUAGCCCCAGGAAAGCUGGCUGUCACACUGAGGGGGAGCGGGGCAGGUGUUGCAGGAGAAGAGGGCUGAGAGGGCUUCCUGUCCUCCUGGGUCAGCCCUGUGGCAAAGGGACCCUACUGUUUUCCCAGGUGCAUCCGGCUGGGCCCCGGCCCCACACAGCUUCUCACAGGUGUUGCUUGGCUCGGUGUUCUUUGUAACUAAAUUCUGUGAUUUCUCAGCUGCAAGCCCUGUCUCCAGGGGCUGAGUCUGAGUUUUUGAUAGGCUGAAUCUCUGCUGCUUGCAUCCAGGGUCAAUUCUUGCUCCCUCCUCCUGGCCCUCCAUGUGUGACAGUGUAUUUAAUGUAGUUUUUUAAUGCGACAUUAAAAGAUUUUUCAGGUCUUGCUCAGCCUUUGAUUCUUGUUUUUGCUUCUUUUAUGUAAAACUAUCCAAUGUUGGAGUUCCCGUCGUGGCGUAGUAGAAAUGAAUCCGACUAGGAACCACGAGGUUUUGGGUUCAAUCCCUGGCCUCUCUCAGUGGGUCAAGGAUCUGGCAUUGCUGUGAGCUGUGGUGUAGGUUGCAGAUAAGGCUCAGAUCUGGUAUGUUACUGUGGCUGUUGUGUGGCCAGAAGCUGUAGCUCCAAUUCGACCCCUAGCCUGGGAACCUCCAUAUGCUGAGGGUGCAGCUCUAAAAAGAAAACAACAACAACAAAAAAAAAAUUAUCCAAUGUGAAAAUAUACAUAUAUAUCCCAGAUCAGCUGUGCUUCUCAAACUUAUUCUGUACCCUUCUGAUCUGUCUCUAUUAGUCUUUGAAAUUGUUCUGCCCUAUUCCUGGAAUAAGUUUAGCGAGAAGCCCUGGUUCCUCUUAGUAAACUGAAUGAAGGUUAUUCCUUGCUGAUGGAUUGUCGUUGCUUCUCGUCUGACACACUGUGUUUAAAGAAACAAAAUGAGGAGUUCCCGUCCUGGCACAGCGGAAACGAAUCCGACUAGGAACCAUGGGGUUGCAGGUUCAAUCCCUGGUCUUGCUCAGCAGGUUAAGAAUCCUGUGUUGCCAUGAGCUGUGGUGUAGGUGGCAGACGCGGCUCAGAUCUGGCAUUGCUGUGGCUGUGGUGUAGGCCGGCAGCUGUAGCUCCAAUUCGACCCCUAGCCUGGGAACCUCCAUAUGCCAUGGGUGUGGCCCUAAAAGGACAAAAAAA
rnacentral:lncRNA from 1 species